CGUAGGAGCCUCGGAGCCAGGUGCAGGACACAAUCUCCUGGUGCGCCAUUUUUUAAGCCCGUCGGAAAAGCGCAGUAUUCGGGUGGGAGUGACCCGAUCUUCCAGGUGAGCACUUGGGAUAUUUCAGAUGUUUCCCUGUUGUAAUGAAGCUUUUUAAAAAUGCUUUGCAAGUCUUUGGACUGAUAGGUGGGAGGAACUUGCCUUGAGUCUCAAAUGAGAUUGGACUUUGAACCUUCAAGUUGAUGCUGGAAUGACUUAACAUUUUUGUGGACUAUUUGGAAGAGAUUAUUAUAAUUUGCAAGAUUGAAGAAAACAUUUUUAUCCCAGCUAUGUAUAGCUUACAACUGGGACACAACUGAAGACAAUACUUAUUUUUACCAAGGAUUUGAUUGGAACUUUAUACUUUAAAAUGUGAUCAGACUGCUUUUAAUAAUUGACAUUGACUUUAUAAAGCCAAUAGAUGUAGAAAAAGACAGCUUGUACCUUGUCUACAUGGCUUUUUUUUACCGGACUCCUGAUCUUGUCGUAAGGAAAGAAUGUCACUUUCUAGCAGGUGAGAACCUCAAGAUCUAUGGAAAACUCCAAGAAAAAAAAUUUACCCAAUACACACAGGCAUUACAGGCACAAUCUGUUAUGAAAUCCUUGGCUUGGCUCUUCAGGCUCAAGAGGCUUUUGAAAGUCUAACUUGAGACAGGAGGUGGAGUAAGAUGGCUGAAUAGAAGCCAGCAGCAAUUAUCUUACUAUAGUCACACCAAAGUGAACAAUUGUACACACAAGAAAGCACCUUUAUAAGAACCAAGAAAGAAUCAGGUGAGUGAUCACAGUAUUUGGUUUUAACAUAAUAUCAAGGAAAGAGUAACUGAAAAGGGCAGAAAAGACAAUUUUGUAUUGCCUACACAAUCCUUCCCCCUUCCCCAAGGAGCGUGAAAAGAG
rnacentral:lncRNA from 1 species